rnacentral:rRNA from 1 species
UACGUAGGGGCCGAGCGUUGUCCGGAGUUAUUGGGCGUAAAGCGCGCGCAGGCGGCCUCGCGCGCCCGACGUGAAAGCCCCCCGGCUUAACCGGGGAGGGUCGUUGGGGACGGCGGGGCUUGAGGGCGGGAGAGGGUGGUGGAAUUCCCGGUGUAGUGGUGAAAUGCGUAGAGAUCGGGAGGAACACCCGUGGCGAAGGCGGCCACCUGGGCCGACCCCUGACGCUGAGGCGCGAAGGCGUGGGGAGCGAACGGG